UCACACCUCCGUGAGCGGCCUCGGGCUCGCGGUUGAGGCUGAUUGAGGAAGUGGGUUCAGGCGGCCCGCCGUGCCUGGCACACGGUCAGAGUCCCGUCACUGCAAAUGCAACCAAAACUUUUUCUCCUGUAAUGCAAAAUCAUGGAUUCCUGCUCCUGGGAUGUGGAAUCAUUCUUAGGGGCUGCCUAUGUGAGGUGGGAGCUGGAGAUGGUUCCAGGUCAGGGAGGCUAAGAGGAUCAAUGGCAUGCCCCACUACUUGCUGGCUGUGCGGCCUGAGACAAGGUGACAGGACUUUCCCCUUUCUCUGAGAUGACAAUCAGGCCGCUUUGCUUUGCACUGCCCUCAGAGAAGCAGUGUGCCCAGAAGUCAAGUGUGAGCUCUUGAGUCAAAAUGCUUGGAUUUGAAUUCCAACUCUGCUGCUUACCAGCUGUGUGACAUGGGGUGAGUGAGUUACCUGACCUCUCUGUACCUCUAUGUCAUCAUCUUUAAAAUGGAGGCCACAGCAACCAGGGAAAUAGUCUAACAGAAGCCUAGGAUGAAGAAUUUCGGGAAAGAAGAAACGUCCAGCAAGGCCAAGUCCCUUUGUGUGUCAGUCUGCUUUCUCUCUCACACAUACGUGCACACAGGCUCGUACACACAAAGAUGUUAAGCAAAAUAUAAAGCCCCUCCACUGAUAGAAGAGGCUGGGCCACUUUCUGGAGAAAGCCAUGCCAGACAGUGAGAAACAUCUGAAGCCACAGGGCCGUGAGGCCUCCGUGGGGAGGUGCCUUUCUUGGCUCAGCGGUGACCACUGGAAUGCAGCGACUGACCCUUUGCCCCUGGGUGACUUCUGAAGCCUCAAGAAGGUGAAUGAGGGAUUUUGACCCCGUUUCCUCCUAACUCAGUGCCAUGUGCGCUGCUUUGCUUUUCUCUGCCUGGGAACCUUCCCCACUCUGUCUGUCAGGUCACAUGCUCGUGCCGCAAGGCUCAUGUGCCAUGUCCUCUGAAGGACGGCAUCUCUGACCCAUUCUGCCUGACAGGCAGCUGACCAUCUGUGCCCACACUGUACCUGGUACUUAGUCCUAAAAUAGAAUUUAUGAAGUGGAAUGGAUUUGCUUCUAUAUCUGGUUCCCUUCUUUUGACUGCACACUCUAGGGAAAAAUAAAAAUCCUAUCUUAUUUUGACAAAGAUGUAUUGAGAUAUAUUCUUGAUGUAUUUUCUCAAGAAAAAACCCCACAGA
rnacentral:lncRNA from 1 species